AAGUAGAAUAUUUGAGAGAAUUGUCUGUCUCUAAGCCCUGCCUACACAUGGGAUGUGAGAAGGCCUGUAUCACCAUAUGGAUGGUAUGUAUUUUUCCAAAUGUUUCAUUAAUUCAUAUUUUUAUUGCACAUCACCAGCGUAUGCCUUGACUGCAGUGGGCUGUGUGCUGCUGUGGUGCAGAUAUAAAACCUUCCUCUUGCAACCCACUGCUGUGUUUCCCCCUGCAGCCGUGUUACUACUGAGGAUGGACACUAUAAAAAGAAUAUUCAUUUAACCUGAGACUUUGCUUUUGACCUUUAAUAUCUAUUCUGUUGUAGGGAGAAGGUUCCAGUUUGCAACGGAACAUUCAGGUUUGUGAAGCAAGUGGUAGUUCUUUGGUACCCUGUUCUGGAAUGCAUUUUCUGACGUGAUGAUUGGCAAAAAUGUUCAACUGCUCAGAAGUCUGUUGCUGAAUUAUGCCUUUCUGAACUUUGACCUGUGCAUGUGGUUCUUUGGGGAAAGUAUGCAAAUUGAUGUCUCAUUUAGUGUGUUGUUUUUUUUUUUUUAGUGGUUAGCAUGGUCCUGCAAAGAUGAAUGUACCUGAUGGUGAGUAUAUUCAAAGCCAGGUUGCUCUUUUUUUUUUUUUUUUUUUUCCUUCCUCUUCUCUGGUCACUAAAGGAAAAAUGGGUAUCGCAUCUUUACCGAGGUCUAUCCCGACAGACUCUUGACAGUGGAGCUUAGUCGUUGGAAAUGCCUCGCAGAAAAACCUGCAGUUUCGCUUUACCUUCAGGGCUAUUGCUAUUAGGCCUGUGGGAUAAAAAUGCAGAACAAACAUUGAAAAAAUGCUGCUUCAUCUUUUCUUUUUCCCCCUCGUUUUAAUGGUUUCCUUUGCCUUCAGGGUUAAUGAGUUACCAGUAGGGGGUGCCCUGGGCAGCAUUUGCAGAAGCAAUACAUGCAAACAAGGAAGGAGAUACUCCAACUGAGUCAUCAAUUAUGGAAAGGUGAAGAAUCCUGUUGGACCUGUCCUCGGAGUGCACCAGGUCUUAAUGUGUGUGCAUAUAAGGCCCAAAAUCUUGGAAGAACAAAGAACGCUGUCAAAGAUCUACACAAUGUAAGGGCAUAUGAAGAUGAAGAGGAAAUUUUCCUAGACUGCUGCUUUUCAGUGUGGGACCAUAUUAAAAAUAUUACAGUGGAGGGUUUCUUUAAAUCUGUCAGCUCAGUAAGAUUGCAAAACUGACAUUUCUAAUAUAAACAGGUACUUUUAAUUGCUUUGGUAGAAACCAGAUUUGUGGUUUUGAAGUACUGUAUACUUACAGAAAAAAUUCCCUAAUUUGUAUAGCAUUAGGUGAAUUUUGUUGGAAAUUAAAACAGGUACACUGAACAGAACUGUUUCAGGGCUCACUCUAAGUAUUCUGACAGCAGAAUAUUCAGCUAUGAAUAUAAACAUUAAAGUAUGUUGAUUUGUGUUACUAUGGGUACAUUGACUUAUGGUACUUUCUAGGUGUGGUUAGUGUCUUCCCUAGUUUCUGUUGGUGUUGAAGUUGUUCCUGGUCAUGCAGGUCCAGAGAAAAGGAUUAGAGGUGUCCUUAAGUACUACCUUUACUUUCCUGUGCUGAACUUAACAGAACUUCACUUCAUCAUUAUCUGGGUUCACUGUUUCUGAUUGGAAAAUGGUUACAACUCCAUGUAUAAUGCCUCAUCUGAACCCUGACCGUGCUUGCUGGUGAACUAAUUUGUGGUGACACUGCUUGGAGCAGCUGCUUAAAGCUCUUGCUGGGUCUCCCAUAAUCCUUACAGAGCUGAAAUCCUGAGGGAAUGGUGUUCUGCUUCUACCUAAUGCUGAUGCGGUUCAUCUGUGUUCAGUGUCUUUGUCUAAGGCAAAACUGGUAUCUGUAAGAUACUUCAGAGAUAGUACAUUUAUAUUUUAUAUAUAAUAUUUUUGCAGUGGUUUUUAAUUACUGGUCAUUCAGGAAAGAGAUUAAGUGAUGAGCAAAAUGUAUCAUUAUGGUGGUAGAACUAGCCUGUUUUUGAUUUUAUAGCAGGACUAGAGUGGAUGAGCCUGUUGGUUUUCAUGGCUUGUAAAUGUGCCACUGAAUACCACAGAGUGUAUUUUGCUUUGUACAGUUCAUGUAUGUUCCAUUAGCCCAUACUGUGACAUGCUUUGUGCAAGUGCUACCAGUCUAAGCAGCAUGUCUUUUAGUGGAAGGUGUCCUUGAGGAGAUGGACCACUGUGAGGGACUGUCCCAUAGCAUUUACUUGGGUAUCCUUUUUUUUUUUUUUUUUUUUUUCCUUUUCUAAAAACAUCCUUUUGAAGUUGGUGCAACAAUCGACCUUAUCUGUGUGACAGGCUGUUUUAUGGCUCACAGCUAGAACCUUAGUUACCAAAAGUCUUUAACUUGUGAAUAAUUAAACUGCUGUCUACCAUUUUAAAGUGAUCCUUGACUAACAGGAUGGAGAAGGAAUGUUGUGAAGCUUCAAAUAUUUGAAGGGGACUUAAUACACUACCUGUCUUUGAUCUAGUUUGGCAACUGAGGUAGUAACCUCAAAUCUUUAACAUUGUCUGAUUCUACAUUGCAAUAAAGUUAUAACUGCGAGUGUUGUCCUACA
ensembl:lncRNA